rnacentral:rRNA from 1 species
UGCGUAGGCGGUUUUGCAUGUCGGAUGUGAAAGCUCUCGGCUCAACCGGGAAAUGGCAUCCGAAACUGUAGAACUAGAGUACUGGAGAGGUAAGCGGAAUUCACGGUGUAGCGGUGAAAUGCGUAGAUAUCGUGAGGAACGCCGGAGGCGAAGGCGGCUUACUGGACAGAUACUGACGCUGAGGCACGAAAGCUGGGGAGCAAACA